GUCACCAGUGUGGCCAUUCCGGAAACAAAGUGUGUACAAAGUUGCUAGUGGGACAACCACGAGGUGGUUGGUUAAUUUUCCAGGUUUUUCUUCGUCAUCCCCAGGGAUACUGAUUCUAUAACGUGUGCUACAUUUGUCCUGGUGACGUUUGAAACUGAGGAAAACCAAGGACCACGUGUUGGUGCAUAGAACUUUAGUGUCUAAAAGUUGUGGUUUCUUCGAAGGCACCCCAUCUGAAAGUCUUUUGGCGCCCUAAAUUAAGAAUAUGGAGAGAUUCAGCGUGACGAUGGCAAUGGAGGUUUAAAAAAAUCAUUUCUAGACGCGAUGCCAUAAUGCUGUUUUUGCAAUUUAUGCAAGGUACGAGAUGAAUUAUUGAAGGUUAGUAACCUUUUCUUUAUAUGUAUAUGACAAGAAUAUGUUCUUUAACAUACAUUUCAAACACAAAAAACAAAGUUAAAAAAUAUGUUUCUGUUUAAUUACUUAAUUUAAAAACUGGUAAUAAUUAUAUUUAAAUAUUUAACUUUAACAAAACAUAUUUCACUUUGAAGUUAAGCUAAUUACUAUUAAAUAAUUUUAUAUUCAUUCAUGUAAACUACAAUAGUAUUCAUGCAAUUGAAUAUAUUGUCUGUGUUAUGUAAUUAGUACAAAUGUUAAAUUACACUAAUUUUUUUA